AAUUAUUUCUAUUGUAAAUGUGCUUGGCCCUGAUAAUGGGGCUGGGGUUGUGGUGGUAAGCACUACAUGUGCCCCUAGCUAAGGUCUAAGCUUCUAUUAUCACUUUAACAUUUUAAAAAACCAUUAACAAUUUAAAAACGAGUAGGGGCUCCUUCUCCUCAUUGAAAAUUACAUCCAACAACAAAAAAGGUCAUAUUAAAAAAUAAGUAUAGAUAUAGCGACGUAUCAUAAAUUUAUUUCAUAAAUUUAUAAUAGUAAGUUAUAUUCACGAUUUUGAUUAUUAUAUAAAAAUUAAUAAUGAAUGAAUUUGAUUAUAAUAAUAAAAUGGCAAGUUAAAGGAAAUAUUAUUGUAUAUGGGAAAGCUUUUUAUGUUCUCCUACAAUGUAGAACUUCUAUCCUCCCCCACUUUUUCAAUCAUUGAUUUAAA
rnacentral:lncRNA from 1 species